GUGCUCGCUACGGUGGCACAUAGACUAAAUUUUGAUCAAUACAGAGAAGAUUAGCAUGGCCCCUGCGAAAAGGA
ensembl:snRNA U6 U6 spliceosomal RNA